rnacentral:rRNA from 1 species
ACCCAGACUCCUACGGGAGGCAGCAGUGGGGGAUAUUGCACAAUGGGGGAAACCCUGAUGCAGCGACGCCGCGUGAGUGAAGAAGUAUUUCGGUAUGUAAAGCUCUGUCAGCAGGGAAGAAAGCAAUGACGGUACCUGACCAAGAAGCCCCGGCUAACUACGUGCCAGCAGCCGCGGUAAUACGUAGGGGGCAAGCGUUAUCCGGAUUUACUGGGUGUAAAGGGAGCGUAGACGGCUGUGCAAGUCUGAAGUGAAAGCCCGUGGCUCAACCGCGGAACUGCUUUGGAAACUGUAUAGCUUGAGUACUGGAGAGGCAGGCGGAAUUCCUAGUGUAGCGGUGAAAUGCGUAGAUAUUAGGAGGAACACCAGUGGCGAAGGCGGCCUGCUGGACAGAAACUGACGUUGAGGCUCGAAAGCGUGGGGAGCAAACAGGAUUAGAUACCCGAGUA